AGUGCUGUCAGAGCACCUGCAUGGUGGAGGGGGCUGAGGGCUUUCUUCCCAGCCCAGGUCAUCUCUCCCCACGCCUCAGCCUUGAGCAUCUACCCAGGAAGAUACCUACUCUUCAUUUGCAGGCACUGAAGGCCCAUUUCACACAUUGCCAUCUGGGUUGGUCUAGGAGAGCCUAGAAAGCCAGAGAUUUUUCUUGACAAAGCAGCCUGGGUUAUUUCAGAGGAGGAACCUGCUGCAAAGAGAAGCAGAAACUUGGGCCCAUCCUCCAGGGCCUCAGCACUCCAGAGGCCAGAUGGGUAAGCCUGACGUCAUCCACCAAGUCAUGGCCCCAUUCCAGGCUGUGCUCCGCUGGCUUGCGAACCCUGUUCCUCCAUGCUCUCUCCUCCUCCCUUUCCUCGGCAUGAAGGAGACUGAGUGGUGCUGGCAGCCACUUCCCAGCAUCUGGCGGAACAUUCUGCCCCAUAGUUGAGCUCUUCUCACUCCCCAGCUUUCCCUAGGGAUGGCCGGUGACUCAUAUUUCCAUUUUCAAUGUUGGGCCAGGAGCCCAAUCUUUCCAUGACCACCAGCACUGGCUAUAUAGUGUACGAUGUGAUAUCAGAUAGGUCCGAGUUCAAAUCCUCCUCUGCUGCUUGUUGGCUGUGUGAUUUCAGGUAACUAACUCACCCUCUCUGAGCCUCUGUUUCCCCAUUUGGAAAUGCAAACCACAA